rnacentral:rRNA from 1 species
CCUACGGGAGGCAGCAGUGAGGAAUAUUGGUCAAUGGAGGCAACUCUGAACCAGCCAUGCCGCGUGCAGGAAGACUGCCCUAUGGGUUGUAAACUGCUUUUAUACAGGAAGAAACCACUCUACGUGUAGAGUGCUGACGGUACUGUAAGAAUAAGGACCGGCUAACUCCGUGCCAGCAGCCGCGGUAAUACGGAGGGUCCAAGCGUUAUCCGGAAUCAUUGGGUUUAAAGGGUCCGCAGGCGGGCAAUUAAGUCAGAGGUGAAAUCCUAUAGCUCAACUAUAGAACUGCCUUUGAUACUGGUUGUCUUGAAUAACUUGGGAGUAGAUGGAAUAUGUGGUGUAGCGGUGAAAUGCAUAGAUAUCACAUAGAACACCGAUCGCGAAGGCAGUCUACUACAAGUUUGUUGACGCUCAUGGACGAAAGCGUGGGGAGCGAACAGGAUUAGAUACCCUGGUAGUCCACGCCGUAAACGAUGGAUACUAGCUGUUGGGCAUUAAGCUCAGUGGCCAAGCGAAAGUGAUAAGUAUCCCACCUGGGGAGUACGACCGCAAGGUUGAAACUUAAAGGAAUUGACGGA